AAUAUAAAUAAAUACUCGAUGACAGGGAAAAAAUAAGUGAUUUCGGGAAAAUCCCCGAAUCCCAGAUGAACUCCGAUCGGUUUGAAAAACCCUGACCUUUCAUGAUGUUUUCAAUCACCUGAGAAACUUUUCUGGAUCUCGUGUGCCGAAUCUCUUGAUUGAUCGUUUUUCUAGGGUUUUUCUUUUUUCUCUGUCGUUUGAUUUCGUCCAAACAUGGAAGGGAACAAAGACGACGCUUUGAAGUGCCUGAAAAUCGGCAAGGAUGCAAUGGGGGCCGGAGAUCGAGCUCGGGCUUUGAAAUUCUUGACGAAAGCUCGUCGUCUUGAUCCUAGCCUCCCGAUCGGUGAUCUCGUAUCGGAGCUCGAGACUCAAUCCAAUGAUCCAGAGGCGGAGAGUUCGUCUGGACACGUCGCCAAGGAGUCGCCAAUGGCGCCGGAUCGGCCUUCCUUGCGGCAACGUGGACCGGCGGCUUCUGCGGCUGCGGGAUCAUCAUCAUCGCCGGCAUCGGCAUCGGCUUCGGCUUCUUACACUGAAGAACAGAUCGCGAUCGUGAGACAGAUAAAGUCGAAGAAGGAUUAUUACGAGAUUCUAGGGUUAGAAAAGAACUGUUCAGUGGAAGAUGUGAGAAAGGCAUAUCGGAAACUCUCCUUGAAGGUUCAUCCCGACAAGAACAAGGCCCCUGGUUCAGAAGAAACGUUCAAAGCUGUGUCGAAGGCGUUUCAGUGCCUAAGCAACGAGGAGACGCGGAAAAAGUACGAUAUCAGCGGUUCCGAUGAAUCCGUUUGUGAACCUCGCCGGGCCGCAAGGAGAAACGGGUUCAAUGGCUAUUACGACGAUGAAUUCGACGCCGACGAGAUUUUCCGAAGCUUCUUCUUCGGCGGAAUGCCACCUGCAACUGCCCAAUUCGGUACAUUCAAUUUCGGCGGCGGAAUGGGCGGUCACAGAACCGCCAAUACCGCAUCUGAUGCAGGGUUCAAUGCCCGUGUUCUUCUUCAGUUCCUUCCUGUUCUGCUUAUACUUCUGCUCAGUUUCCUGCCUUCUUCACAGCCAGUUUAUUCGCUGUCUGGGUCAUACCCUUAUGAGUACAAAUUCACGACGAGCAGGGGCGUCAAUUACUUUGUGAGAUCAUCCAAGUUCGAGCAGGAUUACCCACUUAAUAGCCCCGAGCGGCAGAGGGUAGAAGCACAAGUUGAGAGAGAUUAUUACUCUAUAGUGUCUCAGAAUUGUCGGUACGAGCUGCAGAGGCAACAAUGGGGUUUUAUCCGUGAAACCCCACACUGUGACAUGUUGCAGAAGUUCGAGACGGCUGCCUCUUAAACCAAGAUUGACAUAAGUCUAUGAUUGUGGAGUAUGCUUCGGAAGUACAUUAAACUCGAAGAAACUUGGUUGGAUCAAUGACAGGGACACACAUGGCGGAAGAAGGAAUUUGCAUUGAUGACCAGACAAGCGCUCUCUUCGUCACCAUUUAUGAACUGCUCCGAAAAUUCGAAUCUGGUUGCUAUCAUCGCGGUGGCAUUGUUGAACGGAAAUCCUUUUUCCCCCGUUCAAAUCUGGGUCGAGUUCUUGAGUUUUGCAAGGGAAAAGACUCUAUUCCCAUAAAAGGGUAGAGAUCUUGGGUUUUGGGUUUCUUGUUUUGGUGGAUCUAUCAUUCCAGGUAUAUGUACAUUUUUGUUUUUUAUUGUGUUUUGUUUCUGUCAUUUUCAGGUUUGCUUCUUUCUGUUUUGCAAAAAUAAUUUUCAGUUGGUUUUUUUUAUUCGGUUCGGAUCUAUUCGAGUCGGUUUUAAUAUUGUUCAUGUCCUAAGAAAAUUUUCGGUUUUUAUUUGAUUUUUUAACGUUCAAAGUUUUGUUAAUUUUGGUUUUAGAAAAGUAAUAU